GAAGCCUUUGCUUAUCCGUUCUACUUGAAAAUGCCACCCACCGUAGAGCACAAAGGUACUAUGACUGUUUUUAUCAUGUAUCUGUGGAUUAUUGUAAUAAAAUUCAAGCACUACAUGCUUGGCAAAUGGGUUUUGACUUCAUGGCAUCUGGGCUGCAUAAGCAAAGGAAUCAAAGUCCCUGGCAAGAGGCUUCCCCUCCCUUCUAACUGUAGCCUAGGACGACCUAGGUAAAAAUAACAGAAACCCACAGCGCGUAAUUAGCAGGGAAGCCCAUUCCCCCUCCACUCAAUACUGUCUUUCCGAGUGACUUCUCGAUCCACUCUUGAUCAAUUCUCUCCUGAAAUCGUUCCCGGAGCACAGGGAGACUACCGACUGACCACACCACGUGUCCUUUGGUCAGCUGAGUCUCAGGUCCUCAGAUGCUGGGUAGCACUACCCAGAGCAGGGGGUGCAGGGAGAGUCAGGGCGGUCUACUCCAAAAGGCACCUGUGUGACAAUGGGCUUGUCUGGUCUCUGCUAUGAAAGGCAAAGACUACUGGACUAGAGCCGACAUGCUUGGACAUGAUUGCAGCAACGUUCACUGCCCGUAUUCAAGCUUCCGUUGAAGGAAAGGAAGCAGCAAACAGUGGAUGAAGCAAGCUUCAGCUAGCGCCACCUGCUCAGAGAGGUCUUACAUCACCAUCAAAUCUUUCAAAGCACCACGCCAACCCGCAUGAUUUGCUACACCCGUGGAGAACAUGAAUCUACAGAUUCCAAGGCAUUUUAUGGAAAAUCCAUGCUUCCCAGUUUCUUAAAAGUAUCCAGGGUCAUCCUAUGGCCUCAUAUUGUGUGAACAACCCAUGAGGGAGACAAACCAGGCUCUCCUUUGUUCUUUCAAGAAGACUCCACUUUCAACAAGGAGCUGAAGAAAAAUUUUGGGUGACUCAGAGAAACCUGGUGUCUGUCCCUAAGGUGGACCGUGGAAACUAGAACCCCUUCCCUUCAAAGCAAGACACAGAAGCUAGAAAGGCCGUGUUCUUGCUGUUUCCUUUCUCUCUGAAGCCCCUCCUGUGACAAGUGUCUUGUCUGCACCUGCAAAGAAGGAAUGGCAGAGCAGAAUGUGUUGGAAGGAUCCUUCUGAAAUAUGAGUUCAGCUGGUGUGGGAUACGUUACUUUGCAAGCUUCACCUGUUAACUUGACACUGCCCAGAAUUAUCUGAAGGAGUCCCAGUUGGAUCAGACCAGCCCGAGGCGAGUCUGUGAGAGAGAAGCAGUCCGGGCAAAAAGGAAUGUACAAGAGGAUCAGAGUAUGUACGACCCAGCUAGGACCCUGGUAACAGUCUGACCUCAGCAGCAAGCCUGCAGCCACAGUUGUAACCCUCGGCUGGACUUCAUGGAUGCUGCUGGCCUCGUUGUUGACUGGACUUGAUCUGGUGCUGUUGUCAAACUGCCCACAUUUGGGGCACAUCUGACUACCUCGCUUUAGAGCUUACCAAGGCACAUUUGUGGCUACGAGGGGACCACAGGACUCUACAGCUCCCCUCUGUUGUCUGAGGACUCCCAACUCUGCAGAUGGAGAAGCCAAGGCAAAGAGCUCCGCUGAGUGUGGUAGGGAAGUAGAAACCAAGCCGACAUUUGGUGUGCGGUAGCAAUCCCAGCUCUGGUUUAACACAAGCGAUGUGUUUCACUCACAAACUGGCACCGAGAGCUCAUUUACAUUUAAAUAAGAGGCUUGUUAAUGCCAGCAGGAGGACGCUGUCAAUGCCAAGCCUGGCUCAGGAUUCCUGCCAAGGAGUUUCUAAGAGCAUCGCUCUAGGAAACUCCCCCAGAAGAGAAGCAAGCAUGCUUUCUCAUUAAGACAACUCUACCACGGUGACAUUUGCCUCUGAGCGGCAAGCCUUUGGCUGGGCAGGAAGCAAGUUGUUGAGUCUUGGAACAUUGUCAGUUGCUAAGACGGUUGCUUAGUUCAUCUUGGCUCCUCAUAUACCCAAAGACCACCUGGCGUGAGGUGAUCUGAUGGGGAUCACAGCAAAUUUCUGCCCUCUGGCACCUCCCAGUCGUGUGGGCAAGACUGAGGUUACUAAGAAGUGUGUGAAGAAGAAAACUGUGUUGCAACGUAAAGUCAAGGUCAAGGUCAAGGUCAUCACCAGGCAAUUCGCUGCUGGGAAACUCUCCUCCCGGCAUAAGUCAAAUUGUUUUCUUUCUACAGAUUCUGUACCCCAAUGGCUGCAGAUGCUAAGUAGGAAACUAAGCAUUAGUGAAACAGGCUGUUGCUAAAACCUGCAAACAUAGCUAAGAUUCCAGUAAUCUGGAGU